rnacentral:lncRNA from 1 species
CAUUAUCAUCAUUAUUAUUAUUGUUCGCAUUAUCGCCAUUAUUAUUUUUUUUAUCAUUAUUAUUAUCAUUGUUGUUGUUGUUCGUAUUAUCGCUAUUAUUAUUGUUACUAUAAUCAUCAUAAAAAGUUUGGUUGAUAAAAGUCUUGGUAACAUUGUAAAGGGUUAUUCUGAUAAAAUGGUAGUAUCAUAAAAGGUCUUAAUAAAAAAAAAAAAAAAAAAAACAAUAUUAUGAAACGUUUGUUUAGUAAAAUGGUACUUUAAAGGGUCAUGGAAAUGGUCGUAUUAUGGAAGGUUUCUUUGGAAAAAAUGGUAGUUUCAUCAUCACAAUUUUGACGGAUAAAGAUGAUGAAAAAAUGCGUAAGGGAUAAUUUCGCUGAUAAAAUCUAGUAGUAUAAUGAAAGGCUUGGUUGAUAUUCAAUAUGAAAAGUUUAAUAAAGGAAAGGGUAUUAUUAUGAAAGGCUAUAAUGAUGAAAAUAGUAGCAGGAAAGGUUUGAUUGUGAAAGCGGUUGUAUUAUGAAAACCUUCGCUGAUAAAAAGUGAUAAGCUUUAUGAAAAGUUCCUUUGAUAAGUAUGAUAUUAUUAUGAGAGGUUUAGAUGAUAUAAGAUGGUAGCGUUAUGAAAGGUUUCAAUAAGAAAGAUGGUAGUACUACGAAACGUUUCCAUGGUAGCAUUAUGGAAGAUUAUGUGGAUUAAAAUGAUAGUGGUGUGAAAGGUUUUAGUGAUAAAGAUGAUGGUAUUAUGGGAGGUUUCAUUUUUAAAAUAGUAUGAAAGGUUUUGCUGAGAAUAAAUGGUUACGUUAUAAAAGGAUUUGGUGAUAUCAUGAAAGCUUUGAUUGAUAAAAUUCUUCGGAAAAGAGGUAAUAUGAUUUUGAUAAGAAUGAUAAUGAAAAAAAUAGAAAAAAGGUUUGACUGAUAAAUAUGGUAGUAUUAGUAAGAUUUGGUUGGUAAAAAUUGUAGCAUGGGAAUUUUUGUUGAUAAAAAAAAUAUGAUUAUGAAAAUUUUCUUUGAUUACAAUUGUGAUAUUAGGGAAAGGGUUGGCUAAUAGUAGCGAUAGCAGAAAAUAUUUUUCUGAAGUAGUAUGAAAGGUUAAUAUAAAUGUUAGCAUGAAUGUUUUCGUGAAAUAUUUUCAGCAAUAAUAAAAUAAUGUUUGAAAAGGGUAGCAUAAUGAAAGGGUCUUGAUAUGAAUGGCAAUGGUAGAAAAGGUUUCGAUUAUGAUGAUGGCAGCAUAGAAGGUUUCAUUGAUGAUAAUGGUAGCCAUAUGAAAUGUCUAAUAAGUAAAUAUGCUAUGAAAGGUUUGGUCGAUAAAAGAUACUAGUAUUUUGGAAGGCAAUAUGAAAAUAGAAGCAUGAAAGGUUUCGUUGAUGAGAAUGGUACGAAAGGUUUGGUUGAAAGAAAAUGGUAUUAUUAUGACAGGUUUCUAUAAUAAUAUAGUUAAAAGAUUUCAUUAUAAAAAACGGUUGUAUAUAGGAAUAAAAAAUUAUGAACUAAAUGAAUGGUUUAGUGAUGGUGGUAAUGUGAUUUGUUGAUGAAAAUGAAAGCACAAUGAAACUUAUUUUUUAAAAAUGUGAUAAGGAGGGGAGACUCAUCAAAAGUUUUUGGGAAAAAUAAUAUGAAAGGUUUCCUAAUAAAGGUAGUAGUAUUAUGAUUUUUUUUCAUGAUAGAAAUGGUACUUUUAUGAAUUUUCUAAACAAGAAUGUGUCUGCAAUAUAAAAAAAGAAUUAUACAGGGUUUGAUGAAUAAUUAUGCUAGUAAUAUACAAGGUUUGGUGGUAUAAAAGGUAACAUUAUGAAAGGUUUCGAUAUUACAAAUGGUAAUAUUAUGCAAUGUAUGUUACAAGAAAGAGGUAGCAUGAAAGAUUUCAUUGAUGGUAGUACUUUGAAACAAUUGGUUGAAAAAACAUGGGUAUUAUUGUGAAAGGUUUCUAUAACGUAGAAAGGGUGGUGAAAGUAACAGUUUCAGAAGUAUAGUUAAGAAUGGUAGUACCAUGAAAGCUUUUGAUGAUGAAAAUCCUAUUAGUAUGAAAGGUUUCGUUUGCAGAAAUGGAAGCAUUGUGAAAGGUUUUGUUCAUAUAAAUGUUAGCAUGAAAGGUUUCUUGAUUAAAAUACUUAUAUUAUGGAAGGCUUCCUUGAUAAUAAGGUUAACACAUUAAAAGGUUUCAUUGAUACAGAUGUUAUCAUAAACGUGAUAAUGAAAUGGUAAUAGUAUGAAUGUCUUUUAGUAUGAAUGGUAUCACUAUGAAAGGUCUCAUUGAUGAAAAUUAUAGUAUUUAAUGAAGUUUGGUUGAUAUAAGACAUAAUAUAAAAGUUCUUGUUGAUACUAAUAUCAGAAUUUUGAAAGGGUUUGGUGAUGAAAAUAACACGAAAGGUUAGGUUUGUAAGAUGUAACGUUAUGAAAAGUUUAGAUAAGAUAAGCAAAAUAGUAAUAUGAAAGGUUUGGUUGCUAGAAAAGAUAACGUGAAAGGUUUGGUUGUUGAAACUGACAGCGUGAAAGGUUUGUUAAUGGAAUGGAAGCACUACGUAAAAUUUUGAUGAUAAAUAUGGUUUCGUUUACAAGAAUGUAUCUUAGAUAUAUUUGGUAUUUAAAUGGUAAUACUAUGGAAAGGUUUGUUGUUAAAGAGGGUAUUAUGAAACUAUUUUUUUUAUGAUAAAAGAGCAACUUUAUGAAAGGUUUCAUUAUUAAAAAUGGUGGUAUUAUAGAUCAUUUCGUUGACAAAAGUUAUGGCAUCAUUAAAACAUUAACAAAAAUGAUAGCAUUAUGAAAGUUCUCGGUGACAAGGGCUUGGUUCAUAGGAAUGGUAGCAUGGAAGGUUUCUUGAUAAUCAUGGUAACAUUAUGAAAGGUUUCCUUAAAAAGGUUUACGUAUUUAAUGGUCUCGAUACAUAUGAUCACGUUAAUAAUAAAUAUGGUGGAAUUAUGAAUGGUUUCACUAUGAAAAUGGGAUGGAAGAUUCUGAUAUAAAUGCUAGUAUAAAAAUUCUUUCUGAAGUAUCUUAAGAAAUAAUUUGGAUAUGUAGUAUAAUGAAAGCUUUGAUUGAAAGGUUUUUGAAAAUGGUAGCAUUAUGAAAGGUUUUGAUAAUAAAAAUGGUAGUGUUAUGCAAGGUAUGGUUGGUGAAAAAGUGGCAUGAAAGAUUUCAUGAUAUAAAUGGUAGUCCUAUGAAAAUUCAUUGAUAUUAAUGGUAGUACGAUGAAAGAUUUGGUUGAUAAAACUAUGGUAAUAUUAUGAAAGUUUUCCCUAACGAUGAAUGACUGAUGAAAAUGGUAGUUUGAGAGGUUUUGUUGAUAAGAAUGGUAGUAUCGUGAAAGGUUUUGAUGAUCAAAUUCAUAGUAUUAUGAAAGAUUUCUUAUACAAAUAUGGUAUUAUGAUAGGCAUGCUUCAUAGUAAUUAUAGCAUGAAAGGUUUCUUGAUUAACACGGGAGUAUAAUGAAAGGUUUACUUAAAUAAAAUGGUAUUUGUAUGAAUGACUUAUUUAGUGUGAAUGGUAUCACUAUGAAAGGUUUCAUUGAUGAAAAUGAUAUUAUUUAGCAAAGUUUGGUUGAUACAAGACACAAUAUGAAAGUUUUUGUUGAUACUAAUAUUAGAACUUUGAAAGGGUUUGGUGAUAAAAAUAGUAAAAAAAAAAGUAACUUUACGAAAAGUGUAAGAUAAGCAAAAUAUGAGAGUAUUAUGAAAGGUUUUUGGUUGCUUGAAAAGAUAACGUGGAAUGUUUGGUUGAUGAAACAGAUAGUAUGAAAGGUUUGGUUAACGUAAAUGGAAGCACUUAGAAAGAUUUUGAUGAUAAAUAUGGUAGCAUGAAAGGCUUCGCUUACAAGAAGGUAUCUGGAGAUAUAUUUUGGUUCUGAAAACGGUAAUAUUAUGAAAGGCUUGGUUGCUGAAAAGGUAUUAUGAAAGGAUUUGAUGAUGAAAAUAGUAACUUGAUGAAAGGUGCGUUGAUAAUAAUGGUGUUAUCGUGAAAGGUUUUACUGAUAAAACCCGUACUACUAUAAAUGGUUUCAUUGAGAAAAAUUAUGACAUUAUUAAAACUUUCGCUAAUAAAUGGUAUUACUAUGGGAAGGUCUCGAUGGAAAAACUUUGGCUCAUAAGAAUGGUGGCAUGAAAGGCUUCUUGAUGACUAUGGUAGCACGAUGAAAGGUUUCUUUAAUAAUGAGAAUAAUCAUAGGUAAAGGUCUCGUCCAUACAGGUGAUCACGAUAAUAAUAAAUAUGGUAGAAUUAAGAAUGGUUUAAUUUAUGAAAAUGGUAUGAGGGAUUCUGAUAUAAAUGCUAGUAUGAAACAUUUCGUUUUUGAGGUAUCUUUAGAAAUAUUUUGAUGUAUUACGAAAGCUUUGGCUAAGAAGGAUAAUGAUAGGUUUUAUUGAUGAAAAUGGUAGCAUUAUGAAAGGUUUCGAUAAUAAAAAUGGGAGUAUUACGCAAGGUAUGGUUGAUGAAAAGAGCAUGGAAAGUUUAAAUGAUAUAAAUAGUAACACUGAAAGAUUUGGUUGGUAAAAGAAAAGAAAAGAAAAAGAAAAGAAAAAGGAAAAGAAAAA